GAUGAACGCUGGCGGCGUGCCUAAUACAUGCCAGUCGAGCGAACAGACGAGGAGCUUGCUCCUCUGACGUUAGCGGCGGACGGGUGAGUAACACGUGGAUAACCUACCUAUAAGACUGGGAUAACUUCGGGAAACCGGAGCUAAUACCGGAUAAUAUAUUGAACCGCAUGGUUCAAUAGUGAAAGACGGUUUUGCUGUCACUUAUAGAUGGAUCCGCGCCGCAUUAGCUAGUUGGUAAGGUAACGGCUUACCAAGGCAACGAUGCGUAGCCGACCUGAGAGGGUGAUCGGCCACACUGGAACUGAGACACGGUCCAGACUCCUACGGGAGGCAGCAGUAGGGAAUCUUCCGCAAUGGGCGAAAGCCUGACGGAGCAACGCCGCGUGAGUGAUGAAGGUCUUCGGAUCGUAAAACUCUGUUAUUAGGGAAGAACAAAUGUGUAAGUAACUAGGCACGUCUUGACGGUACCGAAUCAGAAAGCCACGGCUAACUACGUG
rnacentral:rRNA from 1 species